CUGCAGUGGUACAAGUUCCCAAUGAGUGCAGUUGUUCUACUUGGUAGUUAACCUUGGUUUUAUUUGAAUGCUAGAAGUUCAAGUUGACUUAGUAUGAACAUGUAAUAGUAUGAAUGGACUAGUUUCCCUGGAAAGAAUACUGAAUUUGUGUUCUAUAGUACAAAAGUUAUGAGACACGAAUCAGAAAAAUGUUCACUACAAC
rnacentral:lncRNA from 1 species